rnacentral:lncRNA from 1 species
AUGGCUCACUGCCCCUCAGGGGGCAGGGGGCUGGUGAUUCCUGAGGGAGCCCUGCUCGCUUCCAGGGUGAAUUGUCCGAAGUCACCAUGGAAAACCAGCAGCCCAGAAUCAGUGCCCUGCCAGGCAGAAUUGCUUGGCCAUAACAAAGACCCAUUGCCUUUCUGAUGACACUCAGCACCUCGGAUUCUGUAUACACGGGAGGUGAUUUAAGCAUCUUACUGCCACCCUGAAAUCCGGGGUCCUUUAUCCUGGCAGGUAAGACCCUUUUGUGUUUCCCUGACACUUGACUUCGGAGACCGCCCCUCUAAGCAGAGGGCCAUGUCGCCUGCU